rnacentral:tRNA from 1 species
UUCAGGAAAUAUGAAUUAUAUAAAAUAUUAAAAAAUAUUAAUGGCGUUUUUGUGCA